rnacentral:rRNA from 1 species
GGCCAUGGCCAUACCACCCUGAACACAUCCUAUCUCGUCUGAUCUGCGAAGCUAAGCAGGGUUGGGCCUGGUUAGUACUUGGAAGGGAGAAAAUAAAUGACUUAUAAA